GCGCCCGUAGCUCAGUUGGCAGAGCGGUGGGACGGUACCCUACGUUCUCGGGUUCAAGUCCCGGCGGUUGCU